ACAUGGUUCUAGAUACUGGACGAAAAAGCAGUGGCUAGAAAGAUGACGAUAUAUAGAUGCAUUACUUAUCAUAUACUACUACCUAGAAAAAUACAAUAUCUAAUUUCCUCUUGAUCCUUCUUGAACAACCUGCACAACACUACAAGUUCAGUUUCACAAAAGCGUAAGUCUAAAGCUUUGGUACAACAACAACUUAUGGUUUAUUUUGAGAAAAGGUCAGAUUCAGUACACGGAACAUCACAUAUCUCAACAACUUCCACCAGUUUUGUGUGCUUUCAAAGUAACUUUGAUUGGUAUCCAGCUAUACAACACACAACCGCACACAGAAAUCGUGCCACCUCAAUUAUAAAUAAAGGUGUGGCCUCAUCUCAUCUAUUCAUCUCCACCUGCACCAAAACACACUGACAACAUGAAGGCCCUCUUCCUCAUAGGACUGCUUGCUCUGGUAGCGAGCACCGCCUUUGCGCAAUAUAGCGAAGUUGUUGGCAGUUACGAUGUUGCUGGCGGGGGUGGUGCUCAACAAUGCCCUGUAGAGACAAAGCUAAAUUCAUGCAGGAAUUACCUGCUAGAUCGAUGCUCAACGAUGAAGGAUUUCCCGGUCACCUGGCGUUGGUGGAAAUGGUGGAAGGGAGGUUGUCAAGAGCUCCUUGGGGAGUGUUGCAGUCGGCUCGGCCAAAUGCCACCGCAAUGCCGCUGCAACAUCAUCCAGGGGUCAAUCCAAGGCGAUCUCGGUGGCAUCUUCGGAUUUCAGCGUGAUCGGGCAAGCAAAGUGAUAC
rnacentral:lncRNA from 1 species